CCGUUCAUAGUGAAUGACCACGGGGGAGCAGAGAAGCUAGAGGUGGUGUAAUAAAACUCUGUGAACCGGUAUCAAACAAAAACAUCCCGUUUUUAGCUUUCGUACAUUUCUCCUUGAUGUGGGCCGUCGAAGAAAAUGGAUUCAAGCCACGAAGAGGGAGGAGGGAACACUAUUUAACGUCUAUAAUGUCACAGUUGUUUGUAGCAUAGCAUUUUCGUAUUAGCGACCUGUUCGGAAUAGCUAGCUUCUAAUGUUAGCGCUUUAGGUAAAGCCAUGUAGAGUUAAAUAAGACAGUGCCUUGUGUUUGUUCAACGGUCUCUGACACAACCCAAGCCAGGACGUCUGUUUUCACGACGACAACGAGGGACUGGGGUUGUUUGAGAAGUCCAACCGUGUGGAAAGGAAGAUGUUGCUGUUGCUAGCUUAGCUAGCUUUGCUUCGGACAACGAACUAACGAACGACCGUCCCGGUGCAUUGGAUGCAAGCUCACACGAGGAUAAAGGAACUGGAGGUGCUUGUGUUGACAUGACAUCAAUGAAGGUAAUUCGUCUCACCAAGUCCUCCCCUCGGAAAUGUCUGACUUGGUGUCAAUGACUGUCACACCAGGGAAGGGAAGGCUAGUGACCACAAGCUAACCUUGCUCCCAGAUGGAUCACAACAAAGCCACAGAAGAAACCUUGACCUGCCAGAGAUCCACGUAGUGAUCCACGUACUCCAGCCCCUGCCUCAUAGCUGUGGUUUGCCAUGCUUCCUUGAGGAUCCUCCCUGCCAACCACUGCCGGGUCUUAUUCCCCCUGGCAGCAAGGACUUCAUGACUUGCUUUGAGCCUGCUCUCUUCACAGGUGGCUCAGAGUGUACAUACAUACCGUACACACAUAUAUAUAGAUAAUUGGGUUAUAGUUUGUUCAUUGUGUUCAUUUUGUGUGUACUUUUCUAUGUUUUGUAUUUCUAUAAUGUCCACACGUUUUUCAAUAAAACAUGUGUCUUGUUGGUACUUUGACACUAACCUUUGUAGCGCAUACCGUAUAAUGUAGAUCUCACUUUGCAGCUUCCCAAUGUUUUUUUUAAAUGACCAACUGGUGUAGUUAUGUUUACCUGAGCACAUGGCUUGUGCAACAAUGUGAUCACAAAAUUCUCUACCAGCAGCACACAAAAUAGCAUAUCCUUCGUGGUCUUGCUGGCCGAAGUUAGUGUCAGUAGUAGUGGGGUGAGUGGAACAUAUUAGCAAAAGUCUCUGAACCUGAACUCGUGGAACAACAACUAAAACUCUGGUGAAAGAAAUAAGAGAUUUGUCUUGCAUAGUGUUGCAACAAUUUACCAAUUAGGUGUGUUUCAAUGUGGAGAUGUUUUGGAUACCAUACAAAUGAUGACCAUAUUAAGGACAGAC